GUUCUCUUAGGGAUUAGUUUCUGUAAACGCAAUCGAGAGGAACCAGUUCACUAUGUACACAUCUAAAACGUAUAAAGUCUGCUUGAUUUUUUUACUUGGGUUCCCUGUAUAGUAUCAUCUUUAGGGUUUAGUAAUCUUGAAUCAAUGGGGAAUUGCAACUAUAAAAGAUUUUUGGGAUAACAGAUUUUUUUUUUGCAGAAAAGUUGGAUUGUGGAGAAGAAGCUGCGAAGAUGAAGGAGGAAAGAGAAGCUCAGAUG